rnacentral:rRNA from 1 species
AGAGGGGGCAAGCGUUGUUCGGAAUUACUGGGCGUAAAGGGCGCGUAGGCGGCCUUCUAAGUCGAACGUGAAAUCCCCGGGCUCAACCCGGGAACUGCGUCCGAUACUGGGAGGCUUGAAUCCGGGAGAGGGAUGUGGAAUUCCAGGUGUAGCGGUGAAAUGCGUAGAUAUCUGGAGGAACACCGGUGGCGAAGGCGGCAUCCUGGACCGGUAUUGACGCUGAGGCGCGAAAGCUAGGGGAGCAAACGGG